rnacentral:rRNA from 1 species
UACGUAGGGCGCAAGCGUUGUCCGGAAUUAUUGGGCGUAAAGAGCUCGUAGGUGGUUCGGUAAGUCGGAUGUGAAAUCUCCAGGCUCAACCUGGAGGGGUCAUUCGAUACUGCCGUGACUAGAGUUCGGUAGGGGAGUGUGGAAUUCCUGGUGGAGCGGUGAAAUGCGCAGAUAUCGGGAGGAACACCGGUGGCGAAGGCGGGUCUCUGGGCCGAUACUGACGCUGAGGAGCGAAAGCGUGGGGAGCGAACAGG